rnacentral:lncRNA from 1 species
CCAUUUUGGACUUUAACCGAGAGCAAAACCAAGAGAGGAAACAAAUAGGAGUCGGUUGUUUCAUUUGAUAGCAGAAACCGUGAGGAGCAAAAGAGAGAAAUAGAGUGUGAAGCUUUCUUCCUCCUCCAACCACAAAACCGUGAGCAAAAGUGCGAGAUAGGGAGAGAAAUCUUGUGCGUUUCAUCACCUACCAGCCUCAAACGAGAGAGAGGGAUGCAAGGGAGGAGAAGGAGAGAGACUGAUGCAUUUAUCUUGAGGAACCAAAGCAGAAACAAGGCGCAGUCUGCAAUUUCAGAUUUUGGGAGCAAAGGGAGGUAAAAUUUGCAGCAACACCCUUCAAUCUUCCAUUACUUUUAAUCAUGACUGUUGCAUGUUAAGUUUUAGCUAGGAAAAAUGAGUUUUGGCUGAGGAAAAAUUCUGAUUAAGAGCUGCAAGAAAACUUUGUGAUGGCGAGAGAGUGGAGCUGGAAUUGCAGCCUGUUAUUCAUGUUUCUUUGGGGAAUAAUGUUAGGAAUGCAUGCCAAAGGUUUAAAUUUAAGUUUUAUAAGAAGCUCAGCCGGAAAAACUUAUGAAAAACGGGAAGAUUACGCUGGAAAUGUUUAGAAAUAGCUGCUGGAACUUUUCCAGCUUCAGUCGAGAGAAGGAAAAGAAUCCUUCCAGAUUUCCUCAUGAACUCUGUCUGGUUCCAAACUUUUACAUUGAGACGUGAUUUGUUGUAUGAUACCUUAGCCUUAGCCAGCAUGAAAGAUUUGUGUAUAAAUGAAGAAACUUUUGAAGAGUUUCAUGUCGUAUAACUGGUUGCUGCAAGAAUCUCCUUUCAAUUUGGCCGAGAAGGAAGACCCGGUUCAGCUAUGCUUUUGAUUCCUUGGCUGUGACCUUUAUAUUGUCGCUUACGAUACUCUGUGGCUUGAUAAUUACUCUCUGUAUGUUAAGUUGGAAGUGAGGAAAAUGAAGAAAUUGAGAAGGACAGCUUUGUAUUUAACCUGCCGAACUGCUGAAGGUUGUAAUUAGCUGAGGACAGAAUUAUUUGUGGCUUCUUGGUGGAAUAAUUUGCUAGAAUUACCUGUUAUUUGAUUCAUUUCACGUUGGACAGAAUGUGUGUUAUGUGUAUAGUAUUUUAGGCAAGUAAAAGACGUAAACUCUGUUGAAAAUUCUGCAAUAAUGUUGCUGGAAACUUGCUUAAUGGCCGAGAGAAAGAGGGGCUGAAACUCUCGUGUGAUUUUUGGAAAAUUUCAUGAUACUUGGCUGCAAUCUUGAGUAAAACAUUGUAUACUAUCUUGUCCCUGUUUCAUGUGCAUUUUAUUGACUUUUAACACUUAAAAAGCUGGUGAAUUGGAGCAAAUUUAAACAACAAGCAAACUAGAAUCUGGUUUAGCUUAAAAAGGAAAGAAAUGAAAAGUUCACUAGCCUUAAUCUUUAAAUUUGGGUUGAAAAUAAUUUAACCUUAGUUUAAACACCUCACAAGACCUUAAAUUUGGAGUACAUGUAUAUGUCCUUGUUUGUUGAUAAAUUUGAUAAAUCUCGAAGAGAAAUGUAAGAAAGAAUUGCUGGAAUUUCACAUCUUGUUUGAUAAGCUAAGGAACUUGGUUUCUAGUGAUUUAAACCUUAAAUUGGUGAGUUUUUAAUGCUUAAAACUUCUCUCCUUACACUUUAGAAUUUUAGAACUUAUGUUUGGGGCUGCACAUAAAUUCCUAAUCUAAAAGUAUGAAUCAAAUGGGAGUUUUAAGAGUACUAGACUGCUUGGAUUAGUUGAACUAUGUUUAGAGAAUCCUAAAACUCUAAAUAAACUUAUUAGAAUUCACAUUAAGAAUACCUGAAUGAUUAUAGUUGUAUUUUACCUCAGGAAUUGAGAGUGAUCAAGGGUUUAACCCAGAAAGCUUGAAGUAAUAUUGCUGAAUUUAUGUCGAUUGGUUGAAUGGUAAUGAGGUAAGACUUAUUUGAUGUUUUAGGAACUCUAAGGUAAUUUGUUAUGGCUGCAUACAUGAAAUGGAUCCUAAUUACUUAAAUUGGUUUCUAAUUACUUAAUAUUGUCUUCACAAAUAUUUUAAAGAUUAUAAAAUUUGAGAGGCUAGUGUAAUGAAAUAAAAUUUAAAGUGCACACAACUUAGACCUUGGCUUGUUAAAAGGAGAAUCAAUGGAGUGUUUCUAAGCUUGCAUCUUAGGAUUUUGAGUGGAAACUAGGUUACAGUUAAUGUAAAUACCUAUAAGAUUAUAACCAUAGAACAUAUGUAUAAUUCUUGGUUUAAAUGAUAAAAUUAAUAAGUUUCAAAAUAAAAUGUAGGAUAAACAGUAAAUAGAGAAUAUAUUUGUAUUUCAAGGUCAAACUUGAUUUUAAUAGUUUAAAUAAUAAUGUAGAUUAUAUAUUUACCCUGAAAUUAUUAACUUGUCCCAGGAAAUAGCAGUGAGCUAGGAAACAAACUCGAGGCUCGAGAGUAAAUUAUUUGGAUAAUUGGUGAGUGUUUUCCGAAUUUAUGUAUUAAACUGCUUAUGUGUACCUAAGUGUAAUUAUAUGGCAAAUGUGUUUAUUAUGAAUAUGUGACAAAAUGUGCUUAUUAUGAAUAUGUGACAAAUGUGCUUAUUAUGAUAUAUUGCUAAAGUGAUUCAUUGGAAAGUGUAUCUCAAUUGUCCCUUGUCUUCUAAGUCGAGGGUGUACUUUAUCGCACUCGGCUUAGUUGAGUUUGAAGGUUAAUAAUUGAUCAAGUGAUAUUGUAAGUGUGCAUGACUGUAAGUCGUGUGUGUACUUUAUCACACUGGCUGAACUGGGCCCCAAAACCCUUUGUUCAACGGACUAUUCGAGCCAGCAAAAAGGGCUCGGUCGGAUGGGACGGUAGCUUUGGGUAAGUGUAUUGGUAUGCUCGAGUAUUACCAUAGAGUAGCAGAUUACUGAUAUUGAUAUGGCCAUCCAAGUGAGGGAAGUGUUUAUUGUUUUGGAGGUUAUAAGGAGGAGUUCGGCGGAGUGUGUAGUGCAUUGAAGUGGCUCUAAUGCGAGCACCGUAUCCUUUUAAAAGUGAUUGUUCAGUGAAGUGUCUCCUCAAUUGCUAAUGAAAGUGAUUGUACAGUGAAAUGUGCACUACUUGCUUAAUUGUAUUGAUUCAUGUGAUUAUUAAAUGUUACUUGCAUGGAAACCUCAUGGGCGUAAGCUCACCCUUUUAGCUUUGUUUUCCUUACAGGAGUAGGAGAAGAGUGAUUGGAUUGAACUAGAAAGUUAUUUUGGGAAGAUCCGUUAUUCUGUGUAUAUAGUGUAGGCAUGGUCUCUUUUGAAUUUUGAGACGGUUGAAUUUUUGUUUGAGUUGGUGUGAUAUUAAGAAUGGAUAUUUAAAACAAGUAUUUUGUUUCUUUUAUUGGACAAAUUUAUGUUUCAAACUGAUUGGCGAUGUACUUAAGAGUAAAUGUUCAGUUGUCCAAUGGUAAUGUUAUCUUUGAAGUUAAUGUGAGUGAGUGAAUCCUGGCGAGAGUCAGGUAAGCGAUUCACUAACUUCUAGGGUAUGCCCUAGGAGAAGGUGGGGUCGUCACAGCAUAGCUCUCCUCUGAGAAAGCUGUGAUUUUUUUCCCAUUUUUUUUUUCCACUCUACCUUGAUGAGUCAAGACAGAAAAUCUAUUAUAUAGUUUAAGACGAAAGAUUUUCACUACAAGUCAUUUUUGCUUAACCAUAUGGACUUCUACUGCUUUUAUGUGUUGUCU